rnacentral:rRNA from 1 species
CCUACGGGUGGCAGCAGUGAGGAAUAUUGGUCAAUGGCCGGGAGGCUGAACCAGCCAAGUCGCGUGAGGGAAGACGGCCCUACGGGUUGUAAACCUCUUUUGUCAGGGAGCAAGGUGCAGGUCGGGACCUGCUGUGAGAGUACCUGAAGAAAAAGCAUCGGCUAACUCCGUGCCAGCAGCCGCGGUAAUACGGAGGAUGCGAGCGUUAUCCGGAUUUAUUGGGUUUAAAGGGUGCGUAGGCGGUUUUUUAAGUUAGUGGUUAAACGUCGGGGCUUCACCUUGAUUUGCCAUUAAUACUGUAAGACGCGAGUUCAGACGAGGUAGGCGGAAUAAGUUAAGUAGCGGUGAAAUGCUUAGAUAUAACUUAGAACUCCGAUAGCGAAGGCAGCUUACCAGACUGCGACUGACGCUGAAGCACGAGAGCGUGGGUAGCGAACAGGAUUAGAUACCCUGGUAGUC